rnacentral:rRNA from 1 species
AUUGAACGCUAGCGGGAUGCCUUACACAUGCAAGUCGAACGGAGUGGCGAACGGGUGAGUAAUGUAUCGGCACGUGCCCAGUAGCGGUGGCUAACUACGCGAAAGCGUAGAUAAUACCGCAUACUAUUCUCGCGGCCUCUAUCGGAUUAGCUAGUUGGUGGGGUAACGGCUCACCAGGGCGACGAGCCGUAGCUUGUUUGAGCGGACGACCAGCCACACGGGGACUGAUACACGGCCCAGCCGCCUACGGGAGGCAGCAGGGGGGAAUUUUGGACAAGGGGGGAAACCCUGAUCCAGCCAUCCCGCGGGUGCGAUGAAGGCCUUCGGGUUGUAAAGCACUUUUGGCAGGAAAGCGGUACCUGAAGAAUAAGCACCGGCUAACUACGUGCCAGCCGCCGCGGUAAUAC